rnacentral:rRNA from 1 species
AGAGUUUGAUCCUGGCUCAGAUUGAACGCUAGCGGGAUGCCUUACACAUGCAAGUCGAACGGCAGCACGGACUUCGGUCUGGUGGCGAGUGGCGAACGGGUGAGUAAUGUAUCGGAACGUGCCCAGUAGCGGGGGAUAACUACGCGAAAGCGUAGCUAAUACCGCAUACGCCCUACGGGGGAAAGCAGGGGAUCGCAAGACCUUGCACUAUUGGAGCGGCCGAUAUCGGAUUAGCUAGUUGGUGGGGUAACGGCUCACCAAGGCGACGAUCCGUAGCUGGUUUGAGAGGACGACCAGCCACACUGGGACUGAGACACGGCCCAGACUCCUUCGGGAGGCAGCAGUGGGGAAUUUUGGACAAUGGGGGAAACCCUGAUCCAGCCAUCCCGCGUGUGCGAUGAAGGCCUUCGGGUUGUAAAGCACUUUUGGCAGGAAAGAAACGUCAUGGGUUAAUACCCCGUGAAACUGACGGUACCUGCAGAAUAAGCACCGGCUAACUACGUGCCAGCAGCCGCGGUAAUACGUAGGGUGCAAGCGUUAAUCGGAAUUACUGGGCGUAAAGCGUGCGCAGGCGGUUCGGAAAGAAAGAUGUGAAAUCCCAGAGCUUAACUUUGGAACUGCAUUUUUAACUACCGGGCUAGAGUGUGUCAGAGGGAGGUGGAAUUCCGCGUGUAGCAGUGAAAUGCGUAGAUAUGCGGAGGAACACCGAUGGCGAAGGCAGCCUCCCUGGGAUAACACUGACGCUCAUGCAC